rnacentral:lncRNA from 1 species
AGUCCUAUACAUCUGAAAUAUCAGAACAUGAUCCCAGCCACACCUGACAAGUUACAACACCUGAAGCUGAUGUGAAUGGUAAAAUAAGCAAGUACAUUGAUACAACAUGUUACUUUAGACUAAUUAUAAAUGAAGAAUCAAUUACAACUCCAGCUUUGCUGGAUUAGUAUACUGCAAGAUUAAAAGGCUACUUCAGGUGAUGCGCUUUGAGUGGGAGGAGACGUUCCGUCGACGAUGAGGCGCCUACGGUGACUUCGUAAAUCUCAAGAUAAUAUGCCAGCUCAGUCUCUCGGAGGUGCUCAUAGGGGUAGGGUGUGUGUGUGUGUGCGUUCAUAGGGGUGAGUGUAUGCGCGUGCAUACGAGCGCUUAUGUCUGUACUGAUGCUCAAUUUAUUUCAGGAUUUUCGGUGAUGCACUUUCAGUGGGAGGAGACGUUUCCGUCGACGACGAGGCGCCUACGUGACUUCGUAAAUCUCAAGAUGAUAUGCCAGUUUAAUCUCUCGGAGGUGCUCAUAGGGGUAGGGUGUGCGUGUGUGCAUUCAUAGGGGUGAGUGUAUGCGCGUGUAUACGAGCGCUUAUGUUUGUACUGAUGCUCAAAUAGUUUUAUAGUCCCCCCAUUCUUAAAUAUAAGCCUUUUUAAAAAUUCCAAUACAGACUACAUACAGAGCAAAAUGAGUGAAUAUAUACUCUAAAAUACGUCUAUAUACAUAUUAGCAGCCAGUAUCAAGUUUGAAUGGGAGUAUUAUUAAAUAGGCGUCUAUAUACAUAUUAGCUGCUUAUACGUCUAUAUACAUAUUAGCAACCAGUAUCAAGUUUGAAUACGUCUAUAUACAUAUUAUCUGCUUAUAGACAUAUUAGCAACCAGUAUCAAGUUUGAAUACGUCUAUAUACAUAUUAGCUGCUUAUAUUUAGGGAGUAUAUUAUUAAAUGGGCGUAAGAAUAAAAUACAAAUCAUCUGUAGUCUUAUACAUCUGAAAUAUCAGAACAUGAUCCCAGCCACACCUGACAAGUUACAACACCUGAAGCUGAUGUGAAUGGUAAAAUAAGCAAGUACAUUGAUACAACAGGCUACUUCAGACUAAUUAUAACUGAAGAAUCAAUUACAACUCCAGCUUUGCUGCAUUAGUGUAUUGCAAGAUUAAAAGGAUACUUCAGCCUAAUUCAGUAAUUUUAAUAAAUUAAUGAAUCCUGGUGCUCGCAUUAUUCCUGAAUUUAUUUCCGGAUUUCCGGUGAUGCGCUUUCAGUGAAAGGAGACGUUCCCGUCGACGACGAGGCGCCUACGGUGACUUCGUAAAUCUCAAGAUGAUAUGCCAGCUCAGUCUCUCGGAGGUGCUCAUAGGGGUAGGGUGUGCGUGUGUGCGUUCAUAGGGGUGAGUGUAUGCGCGUGCAUACGAGCGCUUAUGUCUGUACUGAUGCUCAAUUUAUUUCAGGAUUUUCGAUGAUGCACUUUCAGUGGGAGGAGACGUUUGCGUCGAUGACGAGGCGCCUACGUGACUUCGUAAAUCUCAAGAUGAUAUGCCAGUUCAGUCUCUCGGAGGUGGUCAUAGGGGUAGGGUGUGCGUGUGUGCGUUCAUAGGGGUGAGUGUAUGCAUGUGUAUACGAGCGCUUAUGUCUGUACUGAUGCUCAAAUAGUUUUAUAUUCCCCUCGUUCUUAAAUAUAAGCCUUUUUAAAGAUUCCAAUACAGACUACAUACAGAGCAAAAUGAGUGAAUAUAUACUCUAAAAUACGUCUAUAUAUAUAUUAGAAGCCAGUAUUAAGUUUGAAUGGGAGUAUUAUUAAAUAGGCGUCUAUAUACAUAUUAGCUACUUAUACGUCUAUAUACAUAUUAGUAACAAGUAUCAAGUUUGAAUACGUCUAUAUACAUAUUAGUUGCUUAUACGUCUAUAUACAUAUUAGCAACCAGUAUCAAGUUUGAAUACGUCUAUAUACAUAUUAGCUGCUUAUAGACAUAUUAGCAACUAGUAUCAAGUUUGAAUACGUCUAUAUACAUAUUAGCUGCUUAUAUUUAGAGAGUAUAUUAUUAAAUGAGCAUAGGAAUAAAGUACAAAUCAUCUGCAGUCCUAUACAUCUGAAAUAUCAGAACAUGAGUCCAGCCACACCUGACAAGUUACAACACUGAAGCUGAUGUGAAUGCUAAAAUAAGCAAGUACGUUGAUACAAUAGGCUACUUCAGACUAAUUAUAACUGAAGAAUCAAUUACAACUCCAGCUUUGCUGGAUUAGUAUACUGCAAGAUUAAAAGGCUACUUCAGCCUAAUUCAGUAAUUUUAAUAAAUUAAUGAAUCUUCAUGCCCCCAAAACUCCAUGAUAUGGGCGUGGCAACUAUUUGCACUGCAGCUGCCUCU